CCUACGGGAGGCUGCAGUGAGGAAUAUUGGUCAAUGGGAGAGAUCCUGAACCAGCCAAGCCGCGUGAGGGAAGACGGCCCUAUGGGUUGUAAACCUCUUUUGUCGGGGAACAAAACCCGGGACGUGUCCCCGACUGCGUGUAUCCGAAAAAAAAGCAUCGGCUAACUCCGUUCCGGCAGCCGCGGUAAUACGGAGGAUGCGAGCGUUAUCCGGAUUUAUUGGGUUUAAAGGGUGCGUAGGCGGUCCGUUAAGUCAGCGGUAAAAGGUCGGGGCUCAACCCCGUCGAGCCGUUGAAACUGGCAGGCUUGAGUUGGCGAGAAGUACGCGGAAUGCGCGGUGUAGCGGUGAAAUGCAUAGAUAUCGCGCAGAACUCCGAUUGCGAAGGCAGCGUGCCGGCGCCAGACUGACGCUGAGGCACGAAAGCGUGGGGAUCGAACAGGAUUAGAUACCCGGGUAGUC
rnacentral:rRNA from 1 species